UGGGGAAUAUUGGACAAUGGGCGAAAGCCUGAUCCAGCCAUGCCGCGUGUGUGAAGAAGGUCUUCGGAUUGUAAAGCACUUUAAGUUGGGAGGAAGGGCAUUAACCUAAUACGUUAGUGUUUUGACGUUACCGACAGAAUAAGCUCCGGCUAACUCUGUGCCAGCAGCCGCGGUAAUACAGAGGGUGCAAGCGUUAAUCGGAAUUACUGGGCGUAAAGCGCGCGUAGGUGGUUUGUUAAGUUGGAUGUGAAAUCCCCGGGCUCAACCUGGGAACUGCAUUCAAAACUGACUGACUAGAGUAUGGUAGAGGGUGGUGGAAUUUCCUGUGUAGCGGUGAAAUGCGUAGAUAUAGGAAGGAACACCAGUGGCGAAGGCGACCACCUGGACUAAUACUGACACUGAGGUGCGAAAGCGUGGGGAGCAAACA
rnacentral:rRNA from 1 species